rnacentral:tRNA from 1 species
GCCCGGGUAGCUCAGGGGUAGAGCGCUUCCUUGGUAAGGAAGAGGUCGGCAGUUCAAAUCUGCUCCCAGGCUCCA